rnacentral:rRNA from 1 species
AUUGAACGCUGGCGGCAGGCCUAACACAUGCAGGUCGGGCGGAUGAAGGGAGCUUGCUCCUGGAUUCAGCGGCGGACGGGUGAGUAAUGCCUAGGAAUCUGCCUGGUAGUGGGGGAUAACGUCCGGAAACGGGCGCUAAUACCGCAUACGUCCUGAGGGAGAAAGUGGGGGAUCUUCGGACCUCACGCUAUCAGAUGAGCCUAGGUCGGAUUAGCUAGUUGGUGGGGUAAAGGCCUACCAAGGCGACGAUCCGUAACUGGUCUGAGAGGAUGAUCAGUCACACUGGAACUGAGACACGGUCCAGACUCCUACGGGAGGCAGCAGUGGGGAAUAUUGGACAAUGGGCGAAAGCCUGAUCCAGCCAUGCCGCGUGUGUGAAGAAGGUCUUCGGAUUGUAAAGCACUUUAAGUUGGGAGGAAGGGCAGUAAGUUAAUACCUUGCUGUUUUGACGUUACCAACAGAAUAAGCACCGGCUAACUUCGUG